UGCUUUUAAUGGCGAAGUGAAUUUUCAGAAGAUGAUUUCACAAGUAUUCACUGAACCCCUCAUUCUAACUAAGCUCAGCAGGCAUCUCCUGAGAGAGAGAGCUCUGGCAGGAGCUGCACAAGGCGAGUACAGCUGUUUUUACCCACACAUCUGUGAAAUCAGCACUUCACACUUCAAUGAUUGGUAACAGAGAUGUGCUAACUCCUGUUUUUGAUACCAGACCCUAAGGCUGUUGCUAUUUCUUGCUUGUUUUCCCAGUAUUCUCUGUAGAGGACCAAAUAAAAGUUAUGAAGUAGUUUAGACAUAGUAAGAAUUAAAGCAAAUAAAUAUUGUUUGGAAAGGGCUCAUCUUCCACACUGGUGGACAAGAAAGUUUUUAGCAAAGCAGCAAGAGAAAAGGUCACAGCAGCAGUGAUAAGGGGCAAACCACCUUGACCUUAAAUUUGUAUAUCAUCCUUAGUACCAUGAUUCAAGCAAAUAGGAUUAAUAACUCUGUGCCCUUUUAACACAGACUGCUGUGCACAGCGGGGACUUUCCAGCAUUGAGGAUAUUCUGCCCAGUCUCCCCAGAGAUACACAGACUUUGGGCAGAGCUCAAACCCUCUUGUAAACACCAUCAAGACUCCUGCUUUGGUAUUCAGCUAUUUUAGCUGACCUCUGUACUAAUUUAUCUUUUUUAAAGCCUGUUCCGCUGGACUGCUGCCUGCAUCUGGAGAGUGGAAAGGAGUUCCACAGGGUGCUCAGAACAGACAGAACAGAUAAGCCAGCGCAGUCACCAAGAGCAGACAGAGCUCUUUUGACAACUUCAGCACUUCCAAGCACUGAUUGCUUGUGGUGGCAAUCAUUUCUAAUGUACUCCCUGCCUAUCAGCCUGAACUCACUGCCAUCCAGAGACUUUCUCAUGGAUCCAAGCCUCCAGUUAAAGGAGCAUGAACGUGUUUCUGUUGCUGAAGAUUAUCCUCUUUCGACAUCUAAAUAUAUAGUUUUAAGCCUGCACCUGUUAUCAUUAUAUUACCACUGUUAUUAUUCCUGCUAAGCAGGCUGUUGGAGUUGGACUCAGUGAUUCUUGUGGGUUCCUUCCAACUCAGUGCAUUCUAUGAUACUAGGCUUUACUAAAAGCUUUGCUACCUUUAUGCAGCUUUAUUAUACCACAAUGUACAUAAAGCCAAGAAAAGACAUUGCAAAAAACCCCAAGUUGCAUAAAUACUUUUCACGGUAAAGGUCCUUCCUACCCCUUCUUUAAGAAACAAGCAACUGUCUGUGGAUAUUUUGGUGAUGUUUAUUGUUAGAGAGGUUAUUCUGCAGCACCAUUCAGUAUUGUUCAUACAUGGGUCAAAUGAACUGAGAACAAAACAGAAUUCCUCUACAUAAGAUAAAAUGAUAAAAGAAAAGUGUGUGAGAUGCUGCUUUGGAAUGUGUUUCUCUUAUUAUCCCAUGAAGGUGUGAUUGUGUUGUAUGGCCUAGGAUUCAGAUGAAGGGCAGAAGGGAUGAAAGAUGAAGGAAGGGAAGGGAACAAAGGCAGGAUGCAGCUAAGCAACGAUGUGUGCAAAAGGAGAUACCUGGUUUGUUUGGAUCGCUGUAAAAGAGGAGUUAGAAAGGAGUUACAUUAGCCAGGAGGACUACAGAGUGGUGUCAACACCUUGUUUCAAGCAAACACGCAAUGCCUCACCAGGCAGGUCAACAGCAUGUAAAGGCCAUGGCUUGGAGGCUGUAAACCAGGCCGAGCCUUUGCCCCAAGCCAAGGCUGUCAUCAUUUUCAAGAGACAAGAGCAAGGCUGCAACCUCUGAAGAACAGAUUUGCUGACCCUGAGGUCUGACAGCACCAACUGCACUGAUAGCCGUGAGACUGUGGAGGAUGCCCUCAGCUGUAGGAAGCACUCUUCUGCUGCAUGAAAAUUUGCUGAGCUUUUUUCAGAUACCUGCCACACUUUGAUAAAUCACCAUUGUCCUGUAUUUGUUUAUGAUUUCCCCCAAACUGCUUCUAGCUGGAUGAAAUAAUAAUAACAAACAUGCCAAGACCAGUCUCUCACGCUGUAGGCAUUGGUACUGCCCUUACAGCACACCCAAUGCAAGGAAAUGUCCAGAAAAGCCACUGCAUACAGAAACGAGAUUCUCUAGAGGCAAUGAAAUAAAGUAAUGUAAAAAUAAAUGGAAGUAUUUAGUAAAUUGCAUUCCUCAAAAAAUUCAGCUUUUUAACUUAAAAGUAGAUACGAACUGAAGACAGAAAGAAUAAAGAGAAAUCGACACAGACCCAUUACUUUCAGGGAACCUAUGUUUCCCACCUGAAGAUCAGACCUACAGGAAUUUAAAUGAAAACUUAAUUAAAAAAAAAAAAAAA